CAGUCACUGAGGGGUUCUGUGCCCAUAUAAAGGCACAAGGCUGCAGGCUGAGUUAUACAGGGCUCAGGGCGGGGGGCAUAAGAGGCACAGCCAAGAUACCCCUGGGUCACUUUGGAUCUAAACUCAACUCAACUUAUGGAAAUGCUUGGCCCCCAGAGAGUCGUCUGGAUGCUUUUUCGGAUUCUUUCCACAAUCAGACUUGGCCCCCUAAGGAGAAUGCUGGUAGUGGGAAUGCAGAUCUUCUCUUGUGAUGAUAACAAGGUGGAGAAUUCGAUAUUUGUUGUCAAUACAAUUAUCUCUCCAGGAGGGAGCUUAUAUGAAGAUGUGCAGCAGAAAUGGCAAUUAAAAUCUCCAUAGGGAAUCGUAUCAUGGAAAGACAGGGCGAAUGGUUUCCCUUCAUUCCGAACAACUUGUGCAAAGAUCCUAUAAUUACGAAGCACCGGGUAAAUGUCUUCUAUCAUCUGCAAAGCCCAAGGGAGCGUGUCCUUGCUGUGUUUCUCAUCAUAGAGCCAUCAUGGCCGCAACA